rnacentral:rRNA from 1 species
UAUCUGGCGAGACUGCCGGUAUCAAGCCGGAGGAAGGUGGGAUGACGUCAAGUCAGCAUGGCCUUUAUAUCCAGGGCUACACACACGCUACAAUGGUCGGUACAAAGAGUUGCCAAGCCGUGAGGCGGAGCUAAUCUCAACCAAAACCGGCCUCAGUUCGGAUUGGAGGCUGCCAACCCGCCUCCAUGAAGUCGGAGUUGCUAGUAAACGCCGGUCAGCCAUACCGGCGUUCGAAUACGUUCCCGGGCCUU